rnacentral:rRNA from 1 species
AUUGAACGCUGGCGGCAGGCCUAACACAUGCAAGUCGAGCGGAUGAAGGGAGCUUGCUCCUGGAUUCAGCGGCGGACGGGUGAGUAAUGCCUAGGAAUCUGCCUGGUAGUGGGGGAUAACGUCCGGAAACGGGCGCUAAUACCGCAUACGUCCUGAGGGAGAAAGUGGGGGAUCUUCGGACCUCACGCUAUCAGAUGAGCCUAGGUCGGAUUAGCUAGUUGAUGGGGUAAGGGCCUACCAAGGCGACGAUCCGUAACUGGUCUGAGAGGAUGAUCAGUCACACUGGAACUGAGACACGGUCCAGACUCCUACGGGAGGCAGCAGUGGGGAAUAUUGGACAAUGGGCGAAAGUCUGAUCCAGCCAUGCCGCGUGUGUGAAGAAGGUCUUCGGAUUGUAAAGCACUUUAAGUUGGGAGGAAGGGCAGUAAGUUAAUACCUUGCUGUUUUGACGUUACCAACAGAAUAAGCACCGGCUAACUUCGUG